rnacentral:rRNA from 1 species
UGGGGAAUUUUGGACAAUGGGGGCAACCCUGAUCCAGCCAUCCCGCGUGUGCGAUGACGGCCUUCGGGUUGUAAAGCACUUUUGGCAGGGAAGAAACAGCCUGGGCUAAUAUCCCGGGCGACUGACGGUACCUGCAGAAUAAGCACCGGCUAACUACGUGCCAGCAGCCGCGGUAAUACGUAGGGUGCAAGCGUUAAUCGGAAUUACUGGGCGUAAAGCGUGCGCAGGCGGUUCGGAAAGUAAGGUGUGAAAUCCCAGGGCUUAAACUUGGAACUGCACCCUUAACAACCGGGCUAGAGUACGUCAGAGGGUGGUAGAAUU